CAGUCGCCGCGGGAAUACGGAGGGUGCAAGCGUUAAUCGGAAUUACUGGGCGUAAAGCGCACGCAGGCGGUCUGACAAGUCAGAUGUGAAAUCCCCGGGCUUAACCUGGGAACUGCAUUUGAAACUGUCAGGCUGGAGUCUUGUAGAGGGGGGUGGAAUUCCAGGUGUAGCGGUGAAAUGCGUAGAGAUCUGGAGGAAUACCGGUGGCGAAGGCGGCCCCCUGGACAAAGACUGACGCUCAGGUGCGAAAGCGUGGGGAGCAAACAGGAUUAGAUACCCCUGUAGUCCCUGUCUCUUAUAA
rnacentral:rRNA from 1 species